AUUAGUGUGUAUGCUAAUAGACCCUAAUUAUUAUUUAUUUUUCUAUUUUAUUACACAUCACAGAGUUUCAGCAAUACAUAUUCCUUUACUUAUUAGCCUUUUGAAACUCCAAGACGUCAAGCUCCUUGUCUUCAAUGAAAAAAAGAUCACUUAGAAGACCAUGUACAAAACAGCUCAUGGAGUUCUUGAUUGGAGAGUGUACUUUGUAUUGUGUGCUGAGAAAAUAUUCUUGUACUAAAGAGUGUUCUAAGAUGGAUUCACCUACACUAAAAGUUUCACAUAUCUACAAUUGAAUGAUAACAAAAUACCUGCAGAUGGAAAACAGAAAAUUAAAUUGAUUUACACUGGUUUUGGUAGCUUCAGCGAAAUUGUUGUUGUAUUGAAGUGUAUCUUUUAUUUUUCUCCAAGGGGAAAAUAUUUUUUCCACUUUUUCUCCAAAUUUUAACGGUAUAAAAUAACAUAUAAAAGAACAUCAAGUUAAGACGCAGAAAUAAACACUGCUAUCCCACUGUCUCUCUUUGCUCUUAUGAAAAUGGCUAACAAAACAUUUAAUCUAAAUUAAAGGAAAACUCAUGCAGCUCUGCUAAAGGGAAAUUAUUGUCCACAUGCAGUGUACAAUAAGAAAUUAGUACUUGAUACAGUACAUAUUGAACUUGACCAGAGAAAUUCUCCAAGGAACACCUUACAUCUGAUCCUUUUCUUAAAAACAGUAAUGUUCCAGGGAAAUUAUUACAGAACACCUAAACAGAAGCCUAUUAAAAACAACUCAUUUGUAAUGAGACCUGGAAGCAAGGCAAGCCUUGAGUCAUAAAGGGAGUUUAUGAUUUAGACUUGUUUUUCUUAUCCAAAUACAAUCUAGUAUUUAAAAACAAUGAUAAUGAUGAUAUAUUGUAAUUUGAGGAGUGACUAAAAUAAACAGAAAGACAGCAGGACAUAGAGUUGGUACACCAGCGUAGUGGAGACAGCAACAGAAAAGAUAUGCCCCCAAACCACAAAUUUGACUAGUAUAGAGUUUGCCAAAACAGAGUGAUAGACAUAAGAAAUUGACUCCCGUUUUUACAGGUUCACCAUUCCCUGAGAAGGAGAGAGGCAGCUGCCCUGAGAAGGAGAGAGGCAGCUGUGAGGCUCCUCUUUUAGGUUAUUCCAGGGUUUCUUGCUGCUAACCUCAAGUCGCUUUAUCUCCAAACUGAUAGGCUCCUCUUUUAGGUUAUUCCAGGGUUUCUUGCUGCUAACCUCAGGUCGCUUUAUCUCCAAACUGAUACUGCAACUUUAUAUCAACCACUUCUACAGCUUAACAUUUCUGUUUUGAAUGGACUUCGAAUGAGAAGAAACGCUUGGAUCAGACAGGUAAUUUAAUGACAUAAGCAAGAAUGAGAGAUACCAUUUAGCAAAGCAAUAGAUGAGUCAUAAAAUAUGAAGUUAUGUGCACUUUUUUUUCCUGUACUAGGUUUUAUGUUAUUCUGGUCAUAAGAAUAUAUACAUUUUUUUAAUUUUAGGAAGUAAAUUUUUGGAGGUAAGUUCAAGAUUCCUUGAAUUUUUUAGAUAUAUUCAUUCAAAUAGCAACCGAAACAUGCCCCCAGGAUAAUAGAUUAGCAUAUGUCACAUGACUAGGAAAUACCUACACUUCAAUCUUCAAAAUCCUGGAUCCAUCAGAUUCAAGCAUCUUCUUAGGGAAUUGUUAGACUGUUGACUAGUUUGGGGAUUGUUCUGGAAGUAUAGAGUGAGAUGAUAAAUUUGAACAUUUCCUUUGGGUCCCAGGAAAACCCAUAUAAAUGUCUGGUGGCAUGUGACAUAACCUCAUAAACUGAGUGUGUGUCAUUCUUCCUCCCUCGCAGAGUCUGGCUUAUACCUAAGAGGCAGAAAAUGUGGAAUACAUACUUUCUUUGUUUUUCUUGUUAAAAGGCAUGUAACAGAAACAAACCCUGGAAAUGUUUUCUUACAUAAUAAAGACUCAUCCAUGAAAGCACCCCCUUGACAACUGCAGAAAUAGUUGUUCCGAUGUGUGAUGCCUGGAAGUAUUGCAGCCAUCCCAUGUCCAAGACGAGAGGCAUCAUUAGCACGUUGAAAACUGCAAAGUAACUUUAUGCUUAAUAUGAAAAUGUUUGUCUAUUCACCUCUGGAACUCUCUGCCUCUGAUCUUUUCAUCAAAUAGUAUGAGGUAUAAGUCUUCAUGUGCUAGUUUUCUGGCUUCUGUUGAUUCCCUUCCCUGAUGUCCAUCCUGGUGAAAAUGAACAAUUGUUCCAGUUUUCAUCAUCUUUCAAAGGCAUCUUUUCUGCAAUCUCAAAUGUCCUGUUCAUUAGCUACUGAUUUUAUAGUUUUGAUUCCUUGAUUCUGUCAUAAGAAAUAAUGUCAGAAAAUUACAGAAAUUAUAAAAAGGAGGAAAGAUUAUUAAUAUAUAAACAUUUAUAUUGUAGCUCACAUUUUUUAAACUCAAAUUUAG
ensembl:lncRNA